CACGUAUUUAGCCGUCACUUCUUCUGUUGGUACCGUCAUUUUUUCUUCCCAACUGAAAGCACUUUACAUUCCGAAAAACUUCAUCGUGCACACAGAAUUGCUGGAUCAGACUCUUGGUCCAUUGUCCAAUAUUCCCCACUGCUGCCUCCCGUAGGAGUAAGGGCCGUGUCUCAGUCCCCUUGUGGCCGAUCACCCUCUCAGGCCGGCUACCCAUCAUCGCCUUGGUGAGCCGUUACCUCUCCAACUAGCUAAUGGGACGCAAAGCUCUCUCACAGCGCAUAUAGCUUUCAUAAUUCUAGGAUGCCCUAAAAUCAUAAUAUCAGGUAUUAGCAUUCGUUUCCAAAUGUUGUCCCUAUCUGUGAGGCAAGUUCUUUACGCGUUACUCACCCGUCCGCCACCCAAACCGAAGUUCAAGUUGACUUGCAUGUGUUAAGCAUUCUGUCAGCGUUCAUCCUGAGCCAGGAUCAAACUCU
rnacentral:rRNA from 1 species